AUGAGUUAUGACGUCAUAAUAUACGCCCCGCCUCUGUAUUUCCAUAUAUAGAAAAUAUACCGAAAACAGCAGUUUAAGCAAAAAACACGGCUGAUUUAAUACUGCAUAAGAAAAAUAUAACUACGAAUCACUCAUGUGUGUUUUUAUAAGUUUACAACAUUCAGAAUAUACGAAGAAUUUCCACAACGCAUCUGUCGUAUGGGUGUGAAUAUGCGUCCCAAAAGCGCUCGUCAGACGAUGUAAAAACGUGUAGCUGGUAUUCCCGAUGAUGGCGAUUUUUUUAUGAUUUGUCAGAGUAAUUUGAAAAGUGUCGCACUUAUUUGAGAAAAAAAGGCUUGAAGAAAAUCUGGUACCUGCUUUGUUUUUGGAUUUACAUAAAUGAUGUUCUUAUUGGUGACAAUUUACCUGCACACUUAUACUGAGGUCAUAUAAAAGAUGAAAUGACGAAAAGAAAAACCUGAACUUUAAGAACAGGAAGACUGUGUUUUUGAAGAGAGAAGAGGAGCAGAACUAAGAAGUCAUACAAUAAACACAUUGACAUCAUAUAAAUAAAUUGCCAUUUUGAGUUUGCAUGCAUAUAUAUCAGGUUUAAAUGAUGUCACAGAAUUUU